GCACGCGCUGGUGCUGGAAAUUGCAGCAGUGUGUGUGAGGAAGGAAGGAAGGGGAAAGUUGUCAGGAGAGCACGUGUUUCUCCAUCGAGAGCUUAAUAAAUGCUUGUUGACUGACUGCACCCUGCACAUCAUUUUAAGAUUGAGAAGAAAAAAGACCUGAAAAAUCAGCUUUGGUGGUUUAUGAGGAAAAAAAACCCAAGGAAGAGGCACAACGUUGGUUUUAUCGGCUUCUUUUUGACAUAGAAGAAAAGAAACAGAGGGAAUUAUCAUCUGUCCUUAGGAAGUUCAGUUUUUUGGGGGGAAAUAAACUGUUCCAAAAGCCAUAUAAUAUAUUAAAAGUGUUGUUCAAACCAAGCAUCAGUUUCUUUUCUACCUAAAUAACUGCAUAUCUGAUAGCAGAAUAAAAGAUAGAAGCUCCAUUGUUUAUCUUUACAUAAAGAAUUAAUUGCUCCCUGAAAACUUAAUUCAAGCUACAUACAUUUCACAUAAAAUCUAUCUACAGCAUUCAACAGACCACAUCACAUAUUGGGGCUGACCACAUAAACACUGAAUAUCCAAUAAUCUGAGGAUACGUAUGCUAUAUGCUGAUAAAAGAGCAGCUGAACUAAAAAAAGAUGAAAGCAGAUGGAAACUAGAAGGCCUUUCCAGAUGCCUUAUUCUUUGUACUUUGGCUCGAUCA